GGGGUCGUGGCCAAGCCCGGCAUGGCGACUGACUCCAGAGGCUUGAUGCCCGGUGACGAAACUCCAGACUGAUAUACCGAGCAAUUGACUGAUCAUCAAUUGUGACGACGACCCUCUGGAGUACCGAGGCGCAUACCGGAGAUAUCAGUCGAUCGGGGGUUCAAAUCCCUCCGACCCCA
rnacentral:tRNA from 1 species